UAGGCUGCCAAGGUUAGGUCAGUCCCCUCGGCGCAUAGACCUAUAUAAAGUUUACGUCAUCACUAUACGGUCAGAGGCUCAAACAUUGUAGAGUCUUUACCAUAUGUGCCAAGGACAAAUCUUUAGCUACUCGAUACAUUUAAAUAAUAUAUCUUUAAAACACUGACAAUUGAUUAAUUGUAAGCUGUACAUUAUCCAUGACAAAUUGCAAAGAAUGAAGAUAUUACCCAUAAUUUCCUGCAAUUUAUCCAAUAUAUAGUUAACUAAAUACGCCUUCGCCCAUUUAAUACUACUAAAUUGUAAAUUUCGACAUGCUAAAACGCUGUUUUCUGACCAUCAGAAUUCUGUCAAAUCUUCCCCAAAGUCCAGGAAAUGGCAUUUCAGAGACUCUAAAUUUAAAAAUUUCCUCGGGCCUUCGGCCCUCGCUUUCAGCCCCUUUGUUUUUAAUAAGAAUAACGUCGAAUGUUUGUCCCACAAUUUCUAGAAUAAACCCCAACAAAAUUUAGAAUUUCCAAAAUAUCUUAUUGUACACCCCUCCCGCCAAUUCAGGACACUUUGGAGAGCCCCCCUUGUUAACAUUCCAGGACUACACCACUGAUAGGCCUAUAAAUUUCACUUAAAAAAAAAAUUCCAACCAUCAAGUGAGAAAAAAAAUAUAUUUCUUCUAUAGGUGUACAAAAAAAAAAUAUUGCCUCUUAGAAAAUCCCCUCCCCCCC